rnacentral:rRNA from 1 species
UUUAUGGAGAGUUUGAUCCUGGCUCAGAGUGAACGCUGGCGGCGUGCCUAAUACAUGCAAGUCGAACGAUGAAGCUUCUAGCUUGCUAGAGUGCUGAUUAGUGGCGCACGGGUGAGUAACGCAUAGGUCAUGUGCCUCUUAGUUUGGGAUAGCCAUUGGAAACGAUGAUUAAUACCAGAUACUCCCUACGGGGGAAAGAUUUAUCGCUAAGAGAUCAGCCUAUGUCUUAUCAGCUUGUUGGUGAGGUAAUGGCUUACCAAGGCUAUGACGGGUAUCCGGCCUGAGAGGGUGAACGGACACACUGGAACUGAGACACGGUCCAGACUCCUACGGGAGGCAGCAGUAGGGAAUAUUGCUCAAUGGGGGAAACCCUGAAGCAGCAACGCCGCGUGGAGGAUGAAGGUUUUAGGAUUGUAAACUCCUUUUGUUAGAGAAGAUAAUGACGGUAUCUAACGAAUAAGCACCGGCUAACUCCGUGCCAGCAGCCGCGGUAAUACGGAGGGUGCAAGCGUUACUCGGAAUCACUGGGCGUAAAGAGCGCGUAGGCGGGAUAGUCAGUCAGGUGUGAAAUCCUAUGGCUUAACCAUAGAACUGCAUUUGAAACUACUAUUCUAGAGUGUGGGAGAGGUAGGUGGAAUUCUUGGUGUAGGGGUAAAAUCCGUAGAGAUCAAGAGGAAUACUCAUUGCGAAGGCGACCUGCUGGAACAUUACUGACGCUGAUUGCGCGAAAGCGUGGGGAGCAAACAGGAUUAGAUACCCUGGUAGUCCACGCCCUAAACGAUGGAUGCUAGUUGUUGGAGGGCUUAGUCUCUCCAGUAAUGCAGCUAACGCAUUAAGCAUCCCGCCUGGGGAGUACGGUCGCAAGAUUAAAACUCAAAGGAAUAGACGGGGACCCGCACAAGCGGUGGAGCAUGUGGUUUAAUUCGAAGAUACACGAAGAACCUUACCUAGGCUUGACAUUGAGAGAAUCCGCUAGAAAUAGUGGAGUGUCUAGCUUGCUAGACCUUGAAAACAGGUGCUGCACGGCUGUCGUCAGCUCGUGUCGUGAGAUGUUGGGUUAAGUCCCGCAACGAGCGCAACCCCCUUUCUUAGUUGCUAACAGGUUAUGCUGAGAACUCUAAGGAUACUGCCUCCGUAAGGAGGAGGAAGGUGGGGACGACGUCAAGUCAUCAUGGCCCUUACGCCUAGGGCUACACACGUGCUACAAUGGGGUGCACAAAGAGAAGCAAUACUGCGAAGUGGAGCCAAUCUUCAAAACACCUCUCAGUUCGGAUUGUAGGCUGCAACUCGCCUGCAUGAAGCUGGAAUCGCUAGUAAUCGCAAAUCAGCCAUGUUGCGGUGAAUACGUUCCCGGGUCUUGUACUCACCGCCCGUCACACCAUGGGAGUUGUGUUUGCCUUAAGUCAGGAUGCUAAAUUGGCUACUGCCCACGGCACACACAGCGACUGGGGUGAAGUCGUAACAAGGUAACCGUAGGUGAACCUGCGGUUGGAUCACCUCCUUUCUAGA